rnacentral:rRNA from 1 species
UAAGACAUGCAAGUCGAACGAGAGAAUUGCUUGCUUGCUAAUAAUUCUCUAGUGGCGCACGGGUGAGUAACACGUGAGUAACCUGCCCCCGAGAGCGGGAUAGCCCUGGGAAACUGGGAUUAAUACCGCAUAGUAUCGAAAGAUUAAAGCAGCAAUGCGCUUGGGGAUGGGCUCGCGGCCUAUUAGUUAGUUGGUGAGGUAACGGCUCACCAAGGCGAUGACGGGUGGCCGGUCUGAGAGGAUGUCCGGCCACACUGGAACUGAGACACGGUCCAGACACCUACGGGUGGCAGCAGUCGAGAAUCAUUCACAAUGGGGGAAACCCUGAUGGUGCGACGCCGCGUGGGGGAAUGAAGGUCUUCGGAUUGUAAACCCCUGUCAUGUGGGAGCAAAUUAAAAAGAUAGUACCACAAGAGGAAGAGACGGCUAACUCUGUGCCAGCAGCCGCGGUAAUACAGAGGUCUCAAGCGUUGUUCGGAAUCACUGGGCGUAAAGCGUGCGUAGGCUGUUUCGUAAGUCGUGUGUGAAAGGCGCGGGCUCAACCCGCGGACGGCACAUGAUACUGCGAGACUAGAGUAAUGGAGGGGGAACCGGAAUUCUCGGUGUAGCCAUGAAAUGCGUAGAUAUCGAGAGGAACACUCGUGGCGAAAGCGGGUUCCUGGACAUUAACUUGACGCCUGAAGCACGAAGGCCAGGGGAGCGAAAGGGAUUAGAUACCCCUGUAGUCCUGGCAGUAAACGGUGCACGCUUGGUGUGCGGGGAAUCGACCCCCUGCGUGCCGGAGCUAACGCGUUAAGCGUGCCGCCUGGGGAGUACGGUCGCAAGAUUAAAACUCAAAGAAAUUGACGGGGACCCGCACAAGCGGUGGAGUAUGUGGCUUAAUUCGAUGCAACGCGAAGAACCUUACCUGGGCUUGACAUGUAAUGAACAACAUGUGAAAGCAUGCGACUCUUCGGAGGCGUUACACAGGUGCUGCAUGGCCGUCGUCAGCUCGUGUCGUGAGAUGUUUGGUUAAGUCCAGCAACGAGCGCAACCCCUGUUGCCAGUUACCAGCACGUGAAGGUGGGGACUCUGGCGAGACUGCCCAGAUCAACUGGGAGGAAGGUGGGGACGACGUCAGGUCAGUAUGGCCCUUAUGCCCAGGGCUGCACACGUACUACAAUGCCCAGUACAGAGGGGGCCGAAGCCGCGAGGCGGAGGAAAUCCUGAAAACUGGGCCCAGUUCGGACUGUAGGCUGCAACCCGCCUACACGAAGCCGGAAUCGCUAGUAAUGGCGCAUCAGCUACGGCGCCGUGAAUACGUUCCCGGGUCUUGUACACACCGCCCGUCACAUCAUGGAAGCCGGUCGCACCCGAAGUAUCUGAAGCCAACCGCAAGGAGGCAGGGUCCUAAGGUGAGACUGGUAACUGGGAUGAAG